UGGGGAAUAUUGCACAAUGGGCGCAAGCCUGAUGCAGCCAUGCCGCGUGUAUGAAGAAGGCCUUCGGGUUGUAAAGUACUUUCAGUCGGGAGGAAGGUGUCAAGGUUAAUAACCUUGGCAAUUGACGUUACCGACAGAAGAAGCACCGGCUAACUCCGUGCCAGCAGCCGCGGUAAUACGGAGGGUGCAAGCGUUAACCGGAAUUACUGGGCGUAAAGCGCACGCAGGCGGUUGAUUGAGUCAGAUGUGAAAUCCCCGGGCUUAACCCGGGAAUUGCAUCUGAUACUGGUCAGCUGGAGUCUUGUAGAGGGGGGUAGAAUUCCAUGUGUAGCGGUGAAAUGCGUAGAGAUGUGGAGGAAUACCGGUGGCGAAGGCGGCCCCCUGAACAAAGACUGACGCUCAGGUGCGAAAGCGUGGGGAGCAAACAGG
rnacentral:rRNA from 1 species